AUUAGUCUUUUAAUUGGAGGCUUGUAUGAAUGGUUGGACAAGAAGUAAGCUGUCUCGAACGUAGAGAUUGAAGUUGACUUUUAAGUGAAAAGGCUUAAAUAGUUUAAAGGGACGAUAAGACCCUAUAAAGCUUAAUAAUUUAGUGUAUAGCCAAAUGAAUUAUAAGUAUUAUACUAUUUAUAUAUUAAAUUAUUUCGUUGGGGCGAUGUUGAUAUAAUUUGUAACUGUUUAAAGUUUUGAUACAAAUAUAUUUGUGUGUAAUGAUCCUUGUUGUUGAUUAAAAAUUUAAGUUACUUUAGGGAUAACAGCGUUAUUUAUUUUGAGAGUUCAUAUCGACAAAAAAGUUUGCGACCUCGAUGUUGAAUUAAAAAUUCGCCAUGGCGUAGGAGUAUGGGGGGAGGGUCUGUUCGACCCUUAAAUUUUUA
rnacentral:rRNA from 1 species